rnacentral:rRNA from 1 species
CCUUCGGGGUACACGAGCGGCGAACGGGUGAGUAACACGUGGGUGAUCUGCCUCGCACUCUGGGAUAAGCCUGGGAACUGGGUCUAAUACCGGAUAUGACCUUACAUCGCAUGGUGUUUGGUGGAAAGAUUUAUCGGUGCGAGAUGGGCCCGCGGCCUAUCAGCUUGUUGGUGGGGUAAUGGCCUACCAAGGCGACGACGGGUAGCCGGCCUGAGAGGGCGACCGGCCACACUGGGACUGAGACACGGCCCAGACUCCUACGGGAGGCAGCAGUGGGGAAUAUUGCACAAUGGGCGAAAGCCUGAUGCAGCGACGCCGCGUGAGGGAUGACGGCCUUCGGGUUGUAAACCUCUUUCGACAGGGACGAAGCGCAAGUGACGGUACCUGUAGAAGAAGCACCGGCCAACUACGUG